rnacentral:tRNA from 3 species
GGAGGCGUGGCAGAGUGGUUGAAUGCGGCGGUCUUGAAAACCGCUGUGGGGGCAACUCCACCGUAGGUUCGAAUCCUUCCGCCUCCG